rnacentral:rRNA from 1 species
UACAGAGGGGGCAAGCGUUGUUCGGAAUUACUAGGCGUAAAGGGCGCGUAGGCGGCCUGUUAAGUCGAACGUGAAAUCCCCGGGCUCAACCCGGGAACUGCGUCCGAUACUGGCAGGCUUGAAUUCGGGAGAGGGAUGUGGAAUUCCAGGUGUAGCGGUGAAAUGCGUAGAUAUCUGGAGGAACACCGGUGGCGAAGGCGGCAUCCUGGACCAUUACUGACGCUGAGUGAGCGAAAGCCAGGGGAGCAAACGGG